rnacentral:rRNA from 1 species
AAGCAUAUCACUAAGCGGAGGAAAAGAAACUAACCAGGAUUCCCUCAGUAACGGCGAGUGAACAGGGAAAAGCCCAGCACCGAAGCCUGUGGUCGUUUGAUCACUAGGCAAUGUGGUGUUCAGGUCGAAUCUCGGAAGUACUGCUCCUCUCCAAGUCCGACAAUGAGUACGGUAUUUUGGACACGGCCCAUAGAGGGUGAAAGGCCCGUGGGAGAGGAGCUCAGGCAUGUUUGUGCUUCCUUGGAUAGACCUUGGAGUCGGGUUGUUUGUGAAUGCAGCCCAAAGUGGGUGGUAAACUCCAUCCAAGGCUAAAUACUAGCACGAGUCCGAUAGCGAACAAGUACCGUGAGGGAAAGUUGAAAAGUACUUUGAAGAGAGAGUAAACAGUGCGUGAAGCCGCUCAGAGGUAAACGGGUGGAGUUGAACUGCGUGCUCCGAGAAUUCAGCUGGUGACUGUAUCAUGAUCUUGGUUAUUUUGGUUGGACAGCAGGGUCUGCGUUCUAGCAGGUCUUCGCCUUUGGGUGGAGAUGCGCGAUUCGUUUAUCAAGCGAUGUGCGCCCUGUUUGUUCUUCGGAUCGGUUGUCAGUGCACUUUCUCGGAGUGAUCACCACGACCGACACUGCUGUCCGGCUGUUGUGGUUAAACUGGUCAGGCAUCGUCCUCGUGACUUUGCUUGGUUGGGAUGGCAGGUGGCUCGUUGUUUUGCUUGUAGUUCGCUGCAGGCAUCUUCGAGUGUUAUCAGCUGACCACAAUGGUUCUGUGCAGUGUGUCGGAGACAGCGGCUUGUGGUGUGUGCGUGCAUGGCGCUGGCUGGCGUGUUCGAGUUUGGUUAACAUGUUGCCUAAAAUGGGCCUGGUAAUAGCUCGGACUCGUUCGGUUGGCUGCUGUGCGUGCGCCAUCUAACAGGGCCAAUAGUCUGUGGUGUUGUGGUAGACCAUCCACCUGACCCGUCUUGAAACACGGACCAAGGAGAGCAACAUGUGCGCGAGUCAUUGGGCGUAACGAAACCCAAAGGCGCAGUGAAAGUGAAGGUUUGGCUUGUCCAGACUGAGGUGAGAUCUCGUCGUUUCCCAUACUACCAAGUUGCGAGCGGCGAGCGCAUCACCGGCCCGUCCCAUGACGUAGACGAGGUCUUCGGAUCCACGCAUCGUCGGGGCGGAGCAUGAGCGUACAUGUUGAGACCCGAAAGAUGGUGAACUAUACUUGCGCAGGUUGAAGCCAGAGGAAACUCUGGUGGAGGACCGCAGCGAUUCUGACGUGCAAAUCGAUCGUCAAACGUGAGUAUAGGGGCGAAAGACUAAUCGAACCAUCUAGUAGCUGGUUCCCUCCGAAGUUUCC